CACCCGAGCAAAAACAAGGUUAGCCUGCAGCAGAGCCGCAGCAGCAACAGCCACCAAAGCGGGGGCUGAAAGGGAAGAGAACUUAGAUUUGACCUGUGCAAGGACCUCAGCAGCUUGGACACAGCCCACUGCAGAGAUGAAAGGAGAAGCUGGACAUAUGCUACACAAUGAAAAGUCAAAGCAGGUAAAUGCCAGCACCUUGCCCCCAAACUGGUGAGAAUGUAGUCAGUGGCUCUUUGCCAUAGCUGCACUUGCUAUGCAUCCAACAUCUCCCCCAAGGUUUAGGGGUGGCUGACACAUGGUAAUGUCUUCAUUUUCAGUAACUGAGCAGAGUUCACUUGACUGCCAACUGCCUUUUACCCACAACCCCUUUGCCUGAAUGCAGACUGCGAAUGUGCGUUAUGGAAUUGAAAAGCAUUGUAACUGUCCUCCCUUCUCCUCUUGGCUCUCCUGCCUGUAGCCCUUGGCAUGUCCUAUGCCUCGGGCCUUUGGAAAACCCCUUUCUAUAACUUUCCUGGGGACAACAGAGGCUUUCUGGAGGUAGCUGAGAACUGGCCCUUGACCCCAGCUAACUCCUGCACUGCGUUUUCCUGCACUUCACAGAGGACCUUUGUCCUGUUUAUAUUUCCUUCACCUGGGCUGCUAGAGAGAUGAAAAAACCCAACAUCCCCGAACAAAUAUCUAAUCCUGUAUGUGAAACUGAGGUUUUAAUUUGACUUAAUUUGGUUUGAUCAAACUCAGAAGAUUAAAACUUCCAAUGAGUCUAGAAAAGUUCCUGAAAAGAGCCCUUAAAUUCCAAACAAAGGAAUAACUGGAAAAGCCCAAGGUCACCAGUCUAGCAAACACAGGGCGACCUUUGAAUGGCCCAUGUAAAAGAACAAGUUCUGGUGGGUUACAGUGGCUCACACCUGUAAUCCCAGCACUUUGGGAGACUAAGGCUGGAAGAUCACAUGAGGCCAAGAGUUUUGGACCAACCUGGGUGACAGAGAAUAACAUUGGC
rnacentral:lncRNA from 10 species